rnacentral:lncRNA from 1 species
UGAGGGGCACUUUUUGUCUUUCUCUUACAUUCAGAGGCACAUCUUACAUGUGAGACACUUUGUUGUGGGCCAGCAGUAAAUUCUAGACAAUUUUAUCCUUAAUGAACAUUUUUGUGGAUGGAUGAUGCAUGGACGGGAUAUAUGGACAUGUGAUGUGUGGACAGGUGAUGUGUGUACGGGUGAUGUUGAGAUGGUGUCUAUAUGAGAUAGUGGUGUAUAAAACGGUCAUGUGUGGAUGGGUUUUACAUAGAUGGAUGAAGUUGCAGCAUGAAAGUUUUGCCCACUCAUGUUUUUGCCAAAUACAAUUCAAACACUCGUCCACACAAUUUUUGUUGUAUGUUUGUGUUACGAGAAAAAAAUUAGUGGACAGGUGUUAAUAUUGCAGUGGAUGAGAUAAAUUAAUCUAGUGGAUGAGUGUUUGAAUUGUAUUUAUCAAAAACAUAGUUCGGAAGAUUAUAUGGAAAUUUUUUUUGUGGAUAAAAGUGUAGAAUUAAAAGUUUGAGAUGAAAUCAAGAGGAUAUUUUUGCAUGCCAAAGAAUUUGGGGUAAAAAAAAAAUAAACUACAAAAUAUGGAGGAUCUGAUGUGAAAAUAAUAUGAACUUCACCAUUGUUGGCUAGUUUUCAAUCUUCGACCUAGGAGAGAAGA